rnacentral:miRNA from 1 species
AGGGAGGGGCGGGAGGGGUGGGGCGCGGCUGCUGCAGGGGCGCGGGGUCUCCUCCAGGCGG